rnacentral:rRNA from 1 species
UACGUAGGGUGCGAGCGUUAAUCGGAAUUACUGGGCGUAAAGUGUGCGCAGGCGGCUUGGCAAGUCGAGUGUGAAAUCCCCGGGCUUAACUUGGGAAUUGCGCUCGAAACUACCUGGCUAGAGUGUGGCAGAGGAAGGUGGAAUUCCGCGUGUAGCAGUGAAAUGCGUAGAGAUGCGGAGGAACACCGAUGGCGAAGGCAGCCCCCUGGGCUAACACUGACGCUCAGGCACGAAAGCGUGGGGAGCAAACAGG